GGGGUUGAGGAGGCUGGCUCUGCAUUCCAGGGAGACUUCAGAGCUGCUAAGCCUCCUUUGUGUGGCCUGUCUGAGGGAGCUGACAGGAGGGAGUGGUGGAGGAACGAAGUUUGGAUGCCUUGCUGCAGUAGUUAGCUCAGGAGACCCUGAGUCCUGAAGGGCUGGAUGGACACAGGGUCGACACAGUAAGAACAAGGGUUCUCUCUUGUAAGAACCGGGGACUCCCUGCGAGUCUACAGUUCCUCCAGUCAAUAAACAGGAUGGAGUGCCGACACCAGAGUCAGCGCAAGAGGACAGAUGGAUGUCCAUGGGACAUUUCCUCAUGUUGCAGAGACAUUUGGAUGGCUGUGUGGGCGAUGGCUGAGUGGCUUGAGCUUGGGCACAAAGCCACCCACCGGGAAGGCAGAGCCCCCAGGCUGAGGGCUGCAGCAGGGCGUCCCAAGUUGUUCUGCUACAUCCCACACUGAGAGCCAUUUCUCUGCUACAUCAACGCUUCUGCAGCCAAGUGCACGUUGUGAGGCUCGUCUUGCUGGCUUCCUAAUGGCCCCAUCAGUGGCUGGCCUGAAGAGAGAAGGACUUACUCACAUUGGACGGAUUUCUGCCUUCAUUCCUGUCCAGCUGCUGCGUAUGCUGACCUUCUGUAUGUAACCAAGUACCUCAGCCGGGAUGGACCCACGGACAGCAUCUUAUCAUCUCCCUGGGGAGGCUGAGCAAAGCCAAGAUGAGGGCACCAAUAGGCUGGUUGCUGGUAGUCUGUGGGAUUCCUUGACCUUUAAGAGUUGCUGGAUAAUCUCUGUCUUCAUUUAUUUUAUUUUAUUUUUUUAGAUUCUUGUGUAGUCCAGACUGGCCUUGAACUCCUUAUCUAGUCAGUGCAAGAUUUAUUUAAUUAACAAACAUAAUUACAGUUGGGUGGUAUAACAGGGCUUUAACUGACAUCUCUGAAGAGGAAAACUGGGGGCAGCUACCUUUAAAAAUAUUAAAAUUUAAGACAGUGAUUGUUUGUCAGACACACAUAUGACCAAAUUAUCCCCUGAAUUUAGGAAUGGACACAAUAUGUUUGUUUGCUUGCUUGUUUGUAGUUUUUGAGUCAAAGUCUUAUUCUCAAGCUUCAGACAUUGAACUUGUAAUUUUCUGCCUCAGUCUCCAUAGAACUGGGGCUCCAGGCAUUUACCACAACACCUGGCCAGUAUACAUACUUAAUACCUGUUAGAAAUAUUCUUUUCAGCUUAUUGGGAAAGUUAUAAUUCAUUUAGAAGAUGGUUGGUGUAAAAAUAGGGUGGACCUAAAAAACAAGUAAAUGCUCAUAUAAUAUAUUCAACUGAAACCUAAUGAAAAAUUUGUAUGACUUUGAAAUAGAGGCGAUUUUUAAAAAAAAAAAGU
rnacentral:lncRNA from 1 species